AGGCUCAGGCAUGGCGGGCUGCAGGUCCGGAGCCCUGCCCUGCGGGAACGCAGCUAAGGCUCGGUGAGAAAUAGAGCGCAGCGCCGGUGGGCUGGCACUGCUGGGGGACCCAGUACACUCUCCGCAGCCACUGGCCCGGGUGCUAAGUCCCUCAUUGCCCAGGGCCAACAGGGCUGGCCGGCUGCUCCGAGUGCUGGGCCGCCAAGCCCACGCCCGCCCACCCGGAACUCCAGCUGGCCCGCAAGCGCCGCACGCAGCCGCGGUUCCCGCUGGCGCCUCUCCCUCCACACCUCCCUGCAAGCUGAGGGAGCCGGCUCUGGCCUUGGCCAGCCUAGAAAGGGGCUCCCACAGUGCAGUGGUGGGCUGAAGGGCUCCUCAAAUGCCGCCAAAGUGGGAGCCCAGGCAGAGGAGGUGCCAAGAGCAAGCGAGGGCUCUGAGGACUGCCAGCACGCUGUCACCUGUCAUUAUCAACAACUUGACUAAAAUACCUCUGUGUUUGGCAGAAGAGGAAGCCAGAGAAAUUAGAAACAAGAGAAACAUUUGAUGCAUUAUUGCUGACUUGAAGAUGGAGAGAGGUUCCCCUGAGCAUACAGGAGUACUCCAUGAAGACUGCAAUGGCUUCCCUCUCACAAACUGCAUGCACGUCCAGCAGCUCCUGGAGUGUGUCUGUGGGGAAUCUCACUUGCUGGGCCAUCUGCUGGCUGUAGUGGUUGGCUGCCCUCUGCACGGCUGCUGAGUUCUCACACUGGGCCAGAACUGCCAUUGCAUUCUCCAGACAAGGAGUCGCUCCACUGUUGAUGGCAUCCAGAGACCAUCAAGCUUCAGAAGAUCAUGUGACAAAUGUUCCAGCCAGUUCCAGUUGAAGACACCACCCCUGGCCAUCAAGAAGCUACUCUGCCUCCACUAGACAGAGCAGGGUGACAGUUCCGUGAUCCCCAAUAGGUAGGGACUUUGCUUCAAGCCAGCAUGAGGCAGUUACAGAAGAAAGACCAUUAGUCACUCCACCUCCCAUAAAGAUUUAUGGGGAUGACAUCUCUCAGGGAGGAAAUGAGGCAGGAAAAUAGGAUCUGGAGGCAUAGAACAUAAGGCCUAUUCACACUUCAGCUAUGCCGGGAAAUAUUAUCUCCAUUUACAUAGGGCAUACACAAAGUAACCAAUGGAAACCUCUAGAGGGUAUUUAAAUCCCCCAAAAUUCUGUAACAGGACCCUUGAGCCCCUAUGCUUGGGCCCACUCCCACACUGUGGAGUGUACUUCCAUUUUCAAUAAAUAUCUGCUUUUGUUGCUUCAUU
rnacentral:lncRNA from 10 species